rnacentral:lncRNA from 1 species
UCUUCUUUCUGUUUCUAGCCAGUACAAAUUGUUUUGAUGACUGCUGCUUUGUAAUAUAGUUUAAGGUCAGGGACUGCAAGGCCCCCAUCAUAUGUGGUUUUUUUCAUUAUUUCCCUGGAUAUCCUUGAUCUUUUGUUCUUCCAAAUGAACUUUGUUAUGGUUUUUUCUAAAUCAGUGAAGAAGUUCUCACCUCACUUCUUGCUGAAGAUCUUCUCCAGGAAAGGGGAGGUAGAUUGGGAGGAAUGAUACUAUCCCUUUAAGAUACAAUAUAUUUUUAGUAUGUGGAUUAUGAGGCUGACAAAUUUCCUUCUUGACCUGCAGAAAUUUAUUUCUAUUGGCCUAUAACAGGGACUAUACAUUCACUUGUCACAAUUUGUUCAGCCAUUCCCCAAUUAAUGGGCACUUAUUUAAAAAAAUAUAUUGGUUGAUAUGGGGCUUUUCUUUCUGACAUUGAUCUCCUUACAAGUCCUUCCCCUAUAACAGUGGAAUCUCUGCAUCACAGAAAAUGAGAAAUUUAGUGUUUUUCUCACAUUAUUCCAACUGCUUUAUAGAAUAAUUGGACCAAUUCAUAACACCAUCAUAUAUUACAUAUUAUUAUAAUAUAUAUCAUAUAUUAUACAUAUUAACAUGUCUCUCUUCCAAUAGCCCCUCCCUCCAACACUAAUGGUUUGUAUUUUAGAAUUUUUGCCAGUUUAAGAAGUGUAAAGUAAAAUGUUGGAGUUGUCUUAAUCUGAAUUUCUAUUAUAAGUAUUUGGAGCAUUUUAUCUUAGAAUCAUAGAUAGUUUGUGUUAUUUUUUUUUCUUUUGAAAACUUUCUGUUUAUAUCUUUUAACUAGGUAAUGGGGAAUGGUUCUGUCUUACAUAUAUCUUGGGCAUCAGGUUUUAAUCUGAAAUACUUGCUGAGCUACUGUAUUUGUUUGCUGGGGGGGGGGGGUUACCACUCUUCUGCCUUGCAACCAAUACACAGUAUUGAUUCCAAGACAGAAGGUAAGGAUUUAAAAAAAAAAAAAAAAAAAACACAAUUUGGCAAUAUUUAUAGUUUAAAUAACAAAAAUAUAUAACUAUUUAAUAAACCAAAAACUAAUUUUUAACUUACCUGCUUA